rnacentral:lncRNA from 1 species
CGUAGGUCAUGUAGCCAAUGAAGAUGGGCCUGGUGGUGCUCGUCCGGAACCUGCUGCUCACCCUGUGCCUCUGCCUGGUGCUGGGCUUCAUGUACUACGCCGCCUGGAAGCUGCACCUCCUCCGAUGGGAAGACCCUAAGUAUGAUCGAUUGGGUUUUCUCCUGAAAUUGGACUCAAAAUUGUGAGUAACACAAAGUGGGAGGGUUUGUUCCAGUGGGAUGUGAAGGGUGAGGUUUUCCAAUAUCUCAAAGUCCUGUCUUUGGCCCUGUGGGGAGGGAGGGGGAGGUUGGAGGCCUCAGCAAACAUCUGUUCCCCACGUUGUUACCCUCAGGGACCAGGGAAGCACAGGGUACCUGGCAAUCCACC